rnacentral:tRNA from 1 species
UCCCUGGUGGCCUAGUUGUUAAGGAUCCAGUGUUGUCAGUGCUGUGGCUCAGGUUCAAUCCCUGGCCUGGGAA